rnacentral:rRNA from 1 species
GUGUCAGCCGCCGCGGUAAUACCAGCUCCGCGAGUGAUCGGGACUCUUAUUGGGCCUAAAGCGCCCGUANCCGGCACAGUAAGUCACUGCUUAAAGACCCGAGCUCAACUCGGGGAAGGGUAGAGAUACUACAGAGCUAGGGGGCGGGAGAGGUCGGGGGUACUCCUAGAGUAGGGGCGAAAUCCGUAGAUCCUAGGAGGACCACCAGAGGCGGAGGCGCCCGGCUAGAACGCGCCCGACGGUGAGGGGCGAAAGCUGGGGUAGCAAAAGGGAUUAGAUACCCCUGUAGUCC